rnacentral:misc_RNA from 1 species
GUAGGUGAACCUGCGGAAGGAUCAUUACAGAGUUGGGGUCUUUCAGGCCCAACCUCCAACCCUAUGCAUACCUACCUUUGUUGCUUCGGCGGGCCCGUUAGAGGCAACUCACCGGUGGUUCCAGGCUGCCGAGCGCCCGUCAGAGACCCAUCAAACCCUGUGAACUGUGACGUCUGAGUAUCGAUACAAUCGUUAAAACUUUCAACAACGGAUCUCUUGGUUCUG